ensembl:snRNA U4 U4 spliceosomal RNA
AGCUUUGCACAGUGGCAGUAUCAUAGCCAAUGAGGUUUAUCCGAGGCGAGAUUAUUGCUAAUUGAAAAAAAAAAAAAAGACCACUAAACUGAAUUUUACAUUAAUCGUUCUUUGGCUCUUCUUCACAUUUAUCACAAAU